UACGGAGGGUGCAAGCGUUGUUCGGAAUUAUUGGGCGUAAAGGGCAGGUAGGUGGUCUCAAAAGUCUACUGUGAAAAUCCCCGGGCUUAACCCGGGAAGUGCGGUGGAUACUCUGAGACUUGAGUGCUGGAGGGGUUCGUGGAAUUCCCGGUGUAGCGGUGAAAUGCGUAGAUAUCCGGAGGAACACCGGUGGCGAAGGCGG
rnacentral:rRNA from 1 species